rnacentral:rRNA from 1 species
UAGCCGUAAACGAUACUCGCUAGGUGUCGGCCACGGUGCGACCGUUGUCGGUGCCGUAGGGAAGCCGUGAAGCGAGCCACCUGGGAAGUACGGCCGCAAGGCUGAAACUUAAAGGAAUUGGCGGGGGAGCACCACAACGGGUGGAGCUUGCGGUUUAAUUGGAUUCAACGCCGGAAAUCUUACCGGGACCGACAGCAACAUGAAGGCCAGGCUGAAGACUUUGCCGGAUUAGCUGAGAGGUGGUGGCAUGGCGUAGUCGUGU